GCAACUCCUGCAGCCUUUCGAUGGCGAGCAGGCAGAAAGCACCCGAGCUAAUGAACUGUGUUUUAACCACCUGAUGCUGGCCAAGGCUUUGAUCUCUCAGGUUUGAGGCUGGGUGGAGGAGGGGAGGCAGAGCGCUCUGCCACGCUCCCCAGCACCACCAAAAGUGUUAAUCAGCCUGCUCUGCAGUCUGCUGCAGAGUUUGCUUUAUUAAAGCUCCCUGCUGCCUGCACACGUUGGCUGGCACAGGCUCGGAGAGAGAAGCAAGCCCUUCCCCAGUGCAGAGCUCAGUGCUGCAUUGCAGUCUGCUGCCGGGGAGCCGCGGCAAUAGCAGUGUUUAAAAUCUUACAACUGGAAGUUUGUGGAGGAGAAGAUGAACGAAGGGAUAGAAGAACAGCCAUUGCUGCUGAUUGUCAUUUCAAAUCCUUUGGGGAAGAGACUUCUAGAAGUGAAUGGGAACUGAUCACCUUUCUACAGAGUUCUUGAGUCAUCCCACAGUAUUUAACAGAAAAUAAUUAUUUCACUUCAAAUUGAUAUAAUGUGGCUUAAAAGUGCUUGAAGAUAAAAAAUGUGUUCAUUUACACAAUAUAAGUUAUCAGCUGGGAUGAAUUAACUCUGAAUUCUGUGCAAUUCUGUACGUGUGCCAUCUCUAAAUAGGUAGAUUUUCAUAUGUGUAUUUGCACUGCUUUAGUAGUUCCAUCUCUGGAGCUUUCACAAAAUCAUAACAGCCAUUUUUACAUUUGCUUGAGGCCUGACUGAAGGGUUUAUCUCCACGCAAAUUUUCCAGCCCAGCUGUGAAACCUCUGAAAUGGAUGGUGUCUUUUGAAACUGGGGACAAUGACCUUUACCUAGGUAGGACCACAGCAGGCAGGGCUGACUGCUGCAGCACUGGGCAUCGCCCCCACAGCUCCAAGCUCACGACCUCUGGCAGCAAGACAGGAGAUUUCAGCCCAGGCUUCCACACUGGUGCUUUCUGAGAUGUCCACAGCUGUGCCUGCUGGCUGUGCUGGCUGCUCCAGGUGUGUGCAGGUCAGGCUUGCUCAUGUACUGAGCUCGUUUUUGGGAUGCUGUGGGCAGCCUGGGGAACAGACAGCCCAGAGCCUCUCAGUGCUCUUGUAAGAGAAGCAAGAACCACUUGCUAAAACUUCCUGGGCUGUCUUUUAUUCCUUUCUCAAAAGAGAGGAAUGUUUUGAAGAGGUAGAGCUGCUGCAAUCACUUGGUGUCUGGACAGCCUGGUAUUUUGUCUGGUAAGGACACGCACCAGGCAUCCAGAAGGACAAGGCAAGAAGAAGCACAGAAGGGCAACAGCAGUAAUCUCCCACCAAGAAAAUCUCCCUUGGAAUCCCCCAUGCUGAAAUACUGCAGUGAACAUGAUUUAUAUCUGAAUUUGUGCUUGUGAUGUACUUGUAACCCAUUAAAGUGCCUAUCCUUCCCUUGAGUCUGCACUUGGAUUCCAUUCUCUACAUAACAGUCGGUGACAAUGAGUUUCCCUGUCUAGUUAUUUAUUGUGGGGAAAAUUAUUCUUUGAAUUACCAAAGACUUCAUUUGCUGAAUAUCCUCUGAAUCUCUGCUAAGAAUAUUCUCUUUUCUGUAUCAGUUCUACAGGACUUUGGAAGGAUGCCAUAUGCUAUAUGGAUAUUUCAGUAUUUUAUUUUCCUUUGGAGCCCUAGUGUUGAAAUUAUAUAUGGUAUUUUUUAUAAAAAACAAGUAAUAUAUUUUCUAUCAUGAUCAUGUCCUGCUCAAACUAGAAGAAAAAAAAAAACAACUUUUUUUUACUUAAAAUCAGAGACUCAUAGAAUCAUUUAAGUCAGGAAAGGCCUAAGUCAUAAGCUUUCCUUUUUUUUUUCCUGAGUUCAAGCCACAGCUCUCUUGAGCAAGGUCACCAGCUCAUCUUUUGGCACAUGUGGACCACAUAAAAAAUCUGAAUUCAAUGAUUGAUUCCCAUUGUUUUAUAUUACUAAAUUUUGAAACUUUUCAGAGACUGAAGAUAUAAUUAAAUGUACUAUUAGAUUUUUACCUGUUUGAUCUUCUAUCUUGGCUUAACUGUUGACUUCUUUUGUACUAUAUUUAGUCCCUGGGUAAGUACAUGCCUAUAGCAUUGAAUCACUUCCUUACGGAGAAGACACAUUUCCAGAUCUAGAAUUAAGUCAGUGUGACUAGAAGUCCUUGAAUAUAUACUGCAUUUGGAUUUCAUCUGAGUUUGCUUCUUACAAAUAUUCCUUUCCCUUUUAGCUUAUUCACUCACAUGGAGUGGAUAUUUUCAGUAGCUGCUUGGAAAACAGGGUGACUUAGAUGGGCUGGAGCAGAUCUAAGGCUGAGAUUCAGGAACUUUGCAGUGCAUUUGCCUAGUGAAGACAAGGAGCUAAAGACCAGGGACUAAUUUAUUCAACAGUGAUUAUAAUAACAUUUUAUUCUCUGCCCAUAGUUAACCAAUUCAUUCAGAAACCACAGAAGCAGGAAUUUCUGAUGUGACAACCUUUGGGUCCCCUAGGUGUCUUAUGUGCAAAUAGCAGGGCAGAAAUGAGGAAAAACUGACACUUGUGUGAGAGUUUCGGGUACUGACUGCCACUUACAUUUCAAACUUAAAUAACCAUAUUUUUUCUGCUUCAGAGGCUGACUUUGGAUGUCCUUGAAGUCUGGAAUUAUGCAUUCUGGCAGGCAAGUGGAGAAAUGAACCAGAUGCAGCAAUUUAGUCAUAUAGGGAGGUUUCUAGUAAAUUUUGCACAACGGGGUAGUGACAGUGUACUUAGUAAAGACCCAUGCCUUUGUAAAAAUAGUGCUAUUGAUUUUCUUAGCGUGUGUAUCAAAUGUUAGCACAUUCAUUAGAACAGCAGCCUUCCAAACACUGCUGUAGAACAACCAGCAGGCCUGGAGUCAAUAUCCAUCUGAAUACUGGCUCACUUUCAAAGGGCAAAUUAAUAUUAGGGCAUUGACUUUUCAUGUUAGAGAGGAAAGAUUUUAAAGGCAGCAUUUAUCAAGUAGAGUUAGGCAAGAUUUAACAAAUACAGCUAGGUUGCAGGCCCUACUUGAACAGGCAAAGGUGUGUGCAUGCAACCAUGUACAGCACUAGCAAAAAAGCUUGUUUAUGCAUAUAUAUAUAUAUAUAUAUAUAUGUAUGUAUGUAUAUAUGUAUAUAUACACUCAUUUAGGGUAUUGGUCUAUUACAGUUACAGGAAAAAAUGUGGAAGAUACUUAUGUAAGGAAACUGUCAGUUCUAAACUCCUGUGUGAGUAUAUUGAAAUAUCACUGAGUAGGAAUGUAAUGUAUUACAGUGAUUAAAUAAAUACUGUGUCUGUGUCCUCAUAAUGUAACUUCUUGUACAGUGCUGUGAACAAAGCAGCACAUUAGUCCAAAUAUAACCUUGGCUGGCAGUAGCUUUGCAGGAACAGAAUACAGUCCACUGAGUCUGUUGAAAAAGAGCUAACAACAUAGUGAAAUCAACUUUUAUUGUCUCUCCUUGUAAGGAUGAGAGAUGAAGGAAGAUGAGUAAAGGUCAUUCCACUUCUCAUAAAUUUACUAUGAAUUUGGGAUUUACCUGUUCUUAAUGCUUCCCCUUUGUAUCUGUUUGUGCAAUUAUUCAAACUUUCAUGGUCCCUGAGGAAAGGCCCUCAGGGAAUGUGUUUGGUACUUGUGCCCAUCUUAAUUUGCUUCUGUAUUCUUAAACCCAUGAGGAUGAGCAUGUCUCUGGAGAACAAGUGGUCUCAUUAUCAGGUCACUACUUGUUUCACCCACUAAACUGUAGGCUUAUCUAAUUUCUGGGGGGUUUAUUUGGUUGGUGUGUUAGUUGGCUGGCUGGGGUUUUUUGAGUUUUCUUGUAACCCAUUUGACAACAUUGCUCCACUGUCAACAACCUACCUGUGCUGUGGGUGGGGAGAAGAGGAGGUGAAGAUUUACAUUGCUGUAGCUACCAGCAAAAAUUGCCCCUUGGAAACAAGGCCAAAGCCACCUCCUGAAGUAUCCCACUUUUGUUUCUUACUUAGAGAGGGGUGCCGAAGCUUCAAAGCUCUAACUGAAGCACCUUAGUUAGGUGGUAGAGAACAGGAUUGUGCCCUUACAGGUAGUUAUACACAGAUUUUAGCAGUGUUGAUUGACCCUUCAGAAUGUCCAGCACUGCUGUGACUGCAGAAGGAUUUGGUGCUUUGGUGAGGUGCCUGAUCACUGGUGAUGCCACAGUGGUGGCUCCCAGCAGUCCCAUUGUGUCUGAGCAGGACUGCUGCUACAGAUACUGAAUUCAGUGAAAUCUUCACAAAAUCCCAGGUGGAUCUCUUCCUGCUUCCCAGUCCCAUGCUGCAGACGUUGAACUGCAUUUUCCUUCCAGUCUCCAUUUUCCUUACUUUCUCUUUUGUAAUGCAGAGUGUCAGUCUAAGAGGAUGAUUUCAUUUGUUUUAUUGUUUACAGGUCUUGUUAAUUUUCAACCUACAUGCCCCAGUGAGUUGUUUUGUGAGCUUUCGGUUUUGCAGUUUCUCAAGUCUCAGCAGUCACACACUGCAAAGUGCUUUUGUGGUAUUAUUGUGUGCAAACAGUUAAACAAACAUUUUGGAGGUACUCUAUGUUUCUAAUGGAAACAAAAGGUUUCUGUCUCUGUAUUAUUUUCUCCAUUCAGAUGUCCUUGUAGCUGGUACUGGAUGCCUCUUUCCACUGUGUAUCCCAUUUUGAACCAGAUUCAAGUGUUCUUCAUGCAGGAUAGAUUUUCAUCUGGAGUUUGGUGUCUCCAAAAUAAAUCUGAGAUAAAGUCAUCAGCAGAAUGAGCAAAUGGAGCAUUGAGGGGUAAAUAUGAGGCCCAGUGGGGGUUUGAGUCUUCCUUGACAUUAUACCACCAAAAAAGAACUAUUGUAACCAGCAAAAUUAAUUCAACACUUCUUUUCCACUUAAACCAUAGGUUCAGAGGGUGACUUUAAAUUCAUCUUUUAGACCAUUAAUUCACAGGUGGCAGCAGAUUCAGGAUGAAUUUUAAAUGCUGAUUUGAGAAACUUGACCCCUGUGGCAGAAAAGUUGAGCUUCAAAAUGAAGUGCCCAAAAUAUGAACUCCUCUCUCUGCCUGACUUUAUUAAAUAAGACUGACAUUCUUUAGCAUGGUUUUAAAACCCUCUGGAUCAAGGCUGGCAUGGAUGGGCAAUAUAUUAAACCAGAGUUAUUUAGGUAACCUUUUUCCUCCUUAACCUUCUUCUCUUUUUGAGAACCUUGUAGCUAACUGUGGCCAGUCUGGGAUCUGCCAUGUGGAUUGCAGAGCUCUGAGAAACACAAAGUGUAGGCACUGUGUGGAAAUUAACCAGAUUACCAAGCUCAGAUGACUUAUAAAUGUUAGCUUUUAAUGUUCUUUUUUAAAAAAAUAAAAAGAAAAAAUAUAAAAGAAAAAAUUCCUUUAAAAAACCCAGAUCCUUUUGGAGCAUGACAAACAAAAAAUGUAGCAUUAAUUAAUCCCACUAAAAUUUCCCUUUGAAAAUGCCUUCCUGUAAGUAAAACACAGUCCCCUAAAAGUGUUUUCUAGAAGGAAAAGGUUCUCAGUUGGCCACUGAGAUAAUAAGAGAAAAUUAUUUUUGGAACCAUUUGCAGCCAAAGCCCCUCAGAGGAGCUCCUUGCUGCUUUGAUAGCUGGACCCUUCCAGUGUGGAAGGAGGAAAAAUCUGGUUUUGCCAUGGCAGCCCCAGCCACCCUGAGCCUACACCCACAGCUCAGCCUGGGCCCAUUUCUAGGCUGGUGUGAGAUGUUCCCAGCUGACACAGCUCUGCUGAGGCCUGAAAUUCACUCCCUGCCUUCUCUAGGCAUGAACACAUCAGAAAGGGGGAAGUGAGACCUGUGCAACUCUCAGGGAUGAAUGGGACAUGGAGCUGAAGUGGAAGGAAUGGUAGAAAACUGCUCAGAAAUCAAGAGGAGUUCUGCAUUUUAUGAACUUGAUUUGUGAAAUUACCCCCAGAUUUUAUUUUUUUGCUCAAAAAUGGGCUUCUUCCUGACAAGAAAAUUAUCUGUUUGAAGUUUAAAUUACUUGGAGAUUAAAUUAAAAAUUAGAUUUCUGGAUUUUAAAAUUUCAUUUUAAUUAAGUGUUGCAGCCCUUUGGAAUUCAAAGAAACUGAAACUCUCAGAAGACAAAUGGCAGACACAAUACUUGAAAUUUGAUGAAACAAUUUUUCCCUUAAUUUUUCCAAUUAUAUUAAGAGGUCUUUGAGUUACAAAGCAUUAAAAAGCACUACUGAGGCCAGAGACAUGCUAGUGAAAUAUUGUUUCUGUCAUGUGGAGCCCUGUACAGAAUUGUGUGGGCUUAAAUAAAUGUAUCUUGAUAGUUUACCUUAAAACUCUCUGUCCUUUUCCUCAGUUCAGCUGAAUCCUAUGAAAUAGAUACGCAGCUUGAAGAAGUUCUUCACACCCCCACAAACGCUAAAAAUGGCCCUGAUACAACAUGUAUUUAUGUAACAAAAUCAUCUGCAUUAAUAUCUUCCUUUCCUUUCUGCAAGAAGCACAGAAGGGACCCAGGCUGACACAUUUUCCUGCAGCCCCUUCCAGUUUUCUCCUUGCAUUUGGGGCAGCAGGGCUGAGCUGUGUUUUCCCUUAACAAAAAGGCCACUGAAUAAACAGGAAUUUGGUGUGGCUGUUAAUAGGGUCAGCUGCAAACCUGUAGCCCAAGCUUUUGGGUUUUCUUCCCUUGAAUAUUCAGUAUCCUGUUAGGGAUCAAAACUGUGUGAUAACAAGAGUUCUCGUCACUGCUGUGAUACUGAUCUUUCAAAUAAAGAACGUAUUAAAACAAAUAUAUUUCUUUCACUUUCCUGAAAAGACAAGGGACUGGUUGAUGGGUUCAAAUGUGAUGUAUUGAGUUGUUAACUUCUUCUUUAUAUCUGACAGAAUGAAGGGAAAAAUGGCCCCACCUGGCAGCUGCUUGCUGCCCCGUUUGUCACCAUCAUGGUCAGGUGGCUGUCUGCUCUCUAGGUCCCAGUGAUGCCCCAGCACCUGGGCAGGUGUGCAGCUUGAGGAGAGGGCUCAGGUGCUGGGGAAACAAAGCCACAGGCUCUGUGUUGGCCUCAUUUUUCAUAUGGAGACUCCUGCCCCAGCUCUGCUGUUCCUUUCUGGAUACUGAGAGCUGGAAGUGUCAAAGCCCUUCCUCAUGGCACAGCUCAGCAGGAUGGCUCCCAGCUGCAAGCUGGCUCCUUGGAGGGGAGUGUUAUUCCACAGGCUGUCCUGAGAAAUGACCAGAGUGACCCCCUGAGUCUGCUAAACCAGCACUCACUGCCCCAACCUGCUGCCUGUUGUGGAAAUAAAUCCUGAGCAGCAGUGAAAAUCAAACCAGUAUUCUCAGCAGCAGCUGUAAACUCGAUAAGCUCUCUGUCCUCCUUUCCCUCCCCCUGCCCCAUCCCUCCCUUUGGAGUUGAAAUAAAGGCAGAGACAUGCUGAGAGAAGCAGUGCAGUGCCCUGUUUGCAGGAUAAUAUGCAGACCACAUGUAUGUAUUAAAGACUGUAUGGAGUUAUAAUUGAGCCAGGAGCAUUUAAAUGCAAGCCAAGGGGAAUUUGCUAUUCUGUGUGGGCAGAUUUCAAUUGUAAGGUUGGCAGCUCUGGUAUCCUGUUCUCUAAUACCAUGAGAUGAGAAAAAACAGGCUUUUCUUUCAGAGCAGUUGAUUAUUGAAUCCGCACCAGCUGUUCACCCUAAUCCAAGCUUUCUGUGCUCGUUCCUUGUAACAGAGGCGUCCCUCAUCCCUCCCUCCAUCCGUCCAUCUCCCCACUCCCAUUUCCAUGGGGCUUUUGUGAUCUUUCAGAAAGGUGGUUAGCAGAUAUCAGCCACCCAAAGCAACAUGAGCAUCAGUGCAGGCAAGGGUUAGAACUAACAAGAGAAGGAAGCCCCCCCCCCAACUGGAUAUUGAAACUCAAAUUGUGUUUCACAUCCAUUGCAAGAUGGAAAAAAAGCCAUCAUUUAUCAGAAGGCAGAGAACCAUUUUUUAACGGUGACACCUGACUGUGUGCCCAGCAAACUGUGUGGGAUCAGAGCUGGAGC